rnacentral:rRNA from 1 species
UACGAGGGGGGCAAGUGUUGUUCGGAAUCACUGGGCGUAAAGGGAGCGUAGGCGGAAGCUUAAGUUGGGUGUUUAAAAACCGGGGCCCAACCCCGGGGCGGCACCCAAAACUGGGUUUCUUGAAUGGGACAGAGGCUGGUGGAAUUGGGGGUGUAGCGGUGGAAUGCGUAGAGAUCCCCAAGAACACCGAUUGCGAAGGCAGCCAGCUGGGUCCACAUUGACGCUGAGCUCGAAAGCAUGGGGAG